GUUGUCGUAUUUUCUGAUGACUUAGGUACCGGUGUAGUGACGGUAGUAAGAAUUAAGAAAGGUUAUGUACAGGCACGGGUACUUCUUCAGUUGUUCUUUGCAUAUAUGUUAUCAAUGUAAACACAUGAAUAUAAAGUGGAAAGGGAUUAAUAUAAGUUGCAAAACUUGUUUCCCAAUCUACUAUAAAUAAAUAUGUUUAAACUAC
rnacentral:lncRNA from 1 species